GGAGUUAGCCGGUGCUUCUUCUGUGAGUGAUGUCCUUCCUGCCGGUUAUUGACCCGCAGGCCUUCUUCCUCACUGAAAGUGCUUUACAACCCGAAGGCCUUCUUCACACACGCGGCAUGGCUGGAUCAGGGUUGCCCCCAUUGUCCAAUAUUCCCCACUGCUGCCUCCCGUAGGAGUCUGGGCCGUGUCUCAGUCCCAGUGUGGCUGAUCAUCCUCUCAGACCAGCUACGGAUCGUCGCCUUGGUGAGCCGUUACCUCACCAACCAGCUAAUCCGACAUAGGCUCAUCCGAUAGCGCGAGGCCCGAAGGUCCCCCGCUUUCCCCCGUAGGGCGUAUGCGGUAUUAGCCUGGGUUUCCCCCAGGUUAUCCCCCACUACCGGGCAGAUUCCUAUGCAUUACUCACCCGUCCGCCGCUCGCCACCAGGGAGCAAGCUCCCCGUGCUGCCGCUCGACUUGCAUGUGUUAGGCCUGCCGCCAGCGUUCAAUCUGAGCCAGAAUCGAACCUGA
rnacentral:rRNA from 1 species